UUGAUUCGGGGCAGGUGCGUCAGGAGAGUCCUUAAGCAUUGGCAGCAGGCAGCGGAGAGCAAAGGUCAGAGCCAGGCUUCCGGUGGGAUCAGGGGCCCACAGCCAGUGGGCUGAGCUGUGGAACCGCGCGGAAGGAGAGCAAAGCUUCCGUUAUCUAAUCAAGAACCAGAUAAGAGCCAGGAGAAAAAGGCAGAAGGUCCGGAAGAGGAAACCUGCAGCUGGUGAGGGAGAAGCCUGUUCAGAACCCUCCACGGAGACAGGACAGAAAUGUGAGCAGAUGCCUGUUCGUUUUCAGGCUGAUGGGCCCAGUGGCAAGGACCCCAGACAAGUGCUUCUCCCAGAUGGUUGCCCUGCCAGUAGAUGGUCCUUCUCUGGAUCCACUUCCUGUUUUUCAGGCUGACCCAAGUUCUCAGACAAUUCAGGGUAGGUCAGCAGCAGCUGGGGGGUCUCAGUGGGGUCUCUGAAACUCAAGGCAAUGUCAUGGGUACAGGCUCACCCAACCGGAGGCCGCAGGAGAGCCCACCUCAGGGUCCCAGGCGAACAAAGCUGCCACUUCCAGGAGCACAACUACAGCCAGGCCCUGGGCCACGCCUCAACCCUCCCUCCCCACUCCCACCCCGGGACAGAUCCUGUCACCAUGCUGCCACCCACUGAUGCGUCAAGCUCUCUCCGGGCCCCCUAGAGUACGAACACUCCAAACACUGAAUCAAGAAGGUAACCUUCACACAUUCAUAGCCUCCAAGUAUCAUCCUGAAUCAAACAGGCCUGGCCACAAAAACCAAUGGAGAAAUUCAAGACCCUCUCCUCAAAGGUUCACAGAUACGAGGUCCACCUAGGAGACUAGCCUCAAGGACCCUCUGGGAUCACUGUUUCUU